GGCUCGCGUACCAUACCACAAAAAAAAAAAAAAAAGAAAGAAAGAAAACCAGAAAAUAACAAGUGUUGGUGAGGAUGUGGAGAAAUUGGAACUAUUGUGCACCAUUGGUGGAAUUAUAAAAUAGUGCAACUGCUAUGGAAAACAGUACGUCAGUUCCUCAAAAAAUUAAAAACUUCUAGGUACUGAAAGUAUUGAAAGCAAGGGCUCAUAGAGGUAUCUACACACCCAUGUUCACAGCAGCACUAUUCACAACAGCCAAAGGUGAAGCAACCCAAGUGUCCAUCAGUGGUUGCAUGGAUAAAUGAGCUGUGGUGUGUACACACAAUGGAAUAGUAUUCAGUCUUAAAAAAGAAGGAAAUCUUGUCACAUCCUACAACAGGAUGAACCUUGAGGGUAUUAUGCUAACUGAACUAAAUUAGUCAAAAAACACACUGUAUGAUUCCACUUAAAUGAGGUGUCUAAAGUCAUCAAACUCAUAGAAACAGAAAGUUGCAUGGUGGUUGCCUCUAGCUGGUGCCAGGAAGAAAAGGGGACCUGUGGUUUAAUGGGUACAGAGUUUCAGGUUUUUGUUUUUGUUUUUGUUUAAUUUUGUUGAAGUAUAGUUGACUAACAACGGUGUGUUAGUUUCAGGUGCAGAGUUUCAGUUUUGCAAGAUGAAAAAGUUCUGGAGAUCUGUUUCGCAACAAUAUGAAUAUACUUAACAUUACUGAACUGUACAAUUAAAAGUGGUUAGGAUGGUGAAUUUUGUGUUAUGUGUUUGUUACCACAAUAAGAAACAGAAGGGAAAAAAAUCUAAUGGAAUUUACCUUGCCAAGUUUUGGACUUGUUUGGGCCUCUUCACCCCUUCCUUCUUUCAGAUUUCUCCCAUUUUGGAAAGGGACUGUCUAUCCUAUGUCUGUCCUACCACCGCAUUUUGGAAGGACAUAACGUGUCUGCUUUCAGAGGUUCACAGCUGGAGAGGAAUUUUGCCUCAGGUUGAAUCAUACCUCGAGUCUCACUCACACCUGAUUUGGAUGACAUUCAGGUAUUUGCUAUUGAAUGGAGAAGAUGAGAGAGGACAGCAAGAGUGGAAACAGAGACCAACUAGGAGGCCACCGGUCCAGAUGUUAUCCAGCCUCACGUGAAUGGAGAGGUCACCCAGAUGUCCGGGUUUCCUGAACUGUCCCAGUUCAGCACAGAAAGGCCCUGGGCAAACUGGGAUGGUUGGUCACUCUACAGAAGAAAGAAAGGAGUCCAAUGGGUAUCACAGCUUGCAGCUGGGCACAAAAAACCAAAACCUAUCUGAGUUAGCUCGUUCACACUCCUCCAUUCCCAAAGAAAAAGAUACUUUUAAUCAAAGAGCAAUGCAGUAUCCACAUAUUUAUGUACCAUGAAUGUCAGUUGUGUUCCCUGACUCUCAGAAUCAUCAGACUCGUGUUACUCAAGUUGUGGACCAGCAGCGUCAGCAUCUCCAGGGAGUCCGUUAGAAAUGCAAAUAAAAACCCUCUACCCCCUCUUACACUCCCCUCUCUCCUGACCUAAGAAUCCCAAUUUCUAAGGGGUGGAGUUCAGGAAUUUGUGUUUAACAAGCUCUCCAGUGGGGGGUCAAGGGAAGCAAUGGGAAAGGGAGCUCAGGUUUGAGAAGUACUUAUCUAGCCCAUUUCCUUUACAGAGACAUGGAUCCUAUAUGGUUUUAAAGGUAUCUCUGGGCAGAAUAAUUCCAUUAUCUCACUGAGUAAACUUUCCUUAUGUAAAACAAAUCCCAUUGUUGGUAAAAUCUUCUUUCUUGCUUAUUAAAUCUCUUAUCUACCAUUCUGGUCCUAAUGAGAAUGUACAAUAUCAUUUCACAGUUGACUUUUGUUGUCCUUUUCUAAGGCCAUUCCAAUUGUUCUCCACUAUCCCUUAAAUUAUAGUGUCCAGGGCAUUCCCCGGCAGUCCAGUGGUUAGGACUCCACGUUUUCACUGCCGAGGGCCUGGUUUUCAUCCCUGAUUGGGGAAGUAAGAUCCUGCAAGCCUCCCAGCAUGGCCAAAAAAAAAAAAAAAAAAAAAAAAAUUAAGGUGUCCAGAAGGAAUCCUAGUGAAAAACCCUAGUACAUCUAAAGAAAGACCUCAUGGUUCCAACGUGAAUAUUCAUGAAUCUUUAAGAAAAUCACUUUUCAAGGUACAAUACACUCCAAACCACACAGGUAUAAAAAUCAUAAAGCUUAUAAACAGAAAGAAAGAGUUAAUCUGGAUCACAAGAGAGGGAAUAAAAGAUGACAAGCCUGGCAGAAUGAAAAACAGGACGAAUUUACUAGCUGGGCCUGGAUCUGGGCACCCAGUAUAUGUUCCAGUAGGAGUUUGUGUAGUUUGGCUGGCAUCCACCUACAUAGUUUGUCUGUACUCUGUUUCAGGACUCAAUCCAAAAGGUCACCCUCCAACUCCAACCCAGCUUCUCCCUGUCCAUCUGAUUCUAGGCUCUCUCUUCUUUCCUUUUCCCCUCAUUCCUCCCCAGAGAGGGGUUGCUAUGGGGAUGGGACCACAGUAAGCCAACUGGUAAAGAAAAGCAGUGACAGAAGCAGAGUGGGAGAGUACAGAGAGAAAAAUAAAAGACUAAGGCAAAAGGAAAAGGCACAGACAUAGAUGAGACUUCAGACAGUCAAAAGAGGAACUGCAGGGACUCCCCUGGGGGCACAGUGGUUAAGAAUCGCCUGCCAAUGCAGUGGACACAUGGGCUUGAGCCUUGGUCCAGGAAAAUCCCACAUUCCG